GGGCUGGGUCUAAUAAACCCUAAUGGGCUGCGGCCUCGUAGAUAAACCAGCACUACUCAUCCGUCGCCCCACGGAAGUUUCGGCGGCGCCGGCGUGCUCGUGAUCUCGACCAAGGCGUGCCUCCGCUCCGGUCACCCGUCGCUCCACGCAACCAUGGUAAGCGAGCCUCUUCUCGUCUGGUUAUGGCUCGCAAGCGGACGUAGGUGCAAGCACGGUAGCGGUGGAUUCGGAUCUGGCUGCAAGCACGGUAGCGCUGGAUUCGAUUGUUUUUUUGUUUAGAGAUGGGUUAAGAGCGUAGGUUUGGCUGUUGACUAGGGCUACUGUUGUUUUGGCUGGUUGCCCGUGCUGGAUUGCAUCUGAUAAAUUGCAAUUUGACAUCACCUCUUUAAUACAAAAGAAAGAAUUGCUUUUUACG
rnacentral:lncRNA from 1 species